GAACGCUGGCGGCGUGCCUAACACAUGCAAGUCCCCAUGCGAGACGUCCGGCAGAAGAGACUUCGGUUAAAUCAGUCGGACGAUAGCGGCGGACGGGUGAGUAACGCGUAGGCAAUCUGCCCCGUACAGAGGGAUAGCCGUUGGAAACGACGAGUAAGACCUCAUGAUGCAGCACUUUCACAUGGGAGAGCUGCCAAAGAUUUAUCGGUAUGGGAUGAGCCUGCGUCUGAUUAGCUGGUUGGUGAGGUAACGGCCCACCAAGGCGACGAUCAGUAGCCGACCUGAGAGGGUGAUCGGCCACAUUGGAACUGAGACACGGUCCAAACUCCUACGGGAGGCAGCAGUGGGGAAUUUUGCACAAUGGAGGGAACUCUGAUGCAGCAACGCCGCGUGAAGGAUGAAGGUUUUCGGAUCGUAAACUUCUGUCCAUGGGGACGAAGAAAGUGACGGUACCCGUGGAGGAAGCCCCGGCUAACUACGUGCCAGCAGCCGCGGUAAUACGUAGGGGGCGAGCGUUAUCCGGAAUUAUUGGGCGUAAAGAGUGCGUAGGUGGCCCACUAAGCGCAGGGUUUAAGGCAAUGGCUUAACUGUUGUUCGCCUUGCGAACUGGAGGGCUUGAGUUCAGGAGAGGAAAGUGGAAUUCCUAGUGUAGCGGUGGAAUGCGUAGAUAUUAGGAGGAACACCGGUGGCGAAGGCGACUUUCUGGACUGAUACUGACACUGAGGCACGAAAGCGUGGGGAGCAAACAGGAUUAGAUACCCUGGUAGUCCACGCCGUAAACGAUGAGCACUAGGUGUCGGGGCCGUAAAGGCUUCGGUGCCGCAGUUAACGCAAUAAGUGCUCCGCCUGGGGAGUAUGCACGCAAGUGUUAAACUCAAAGGAAUUGACGGGGACCCGCACAAGCAGCGGAGCAUGUGGUUUAAUUCGAAGCAACGCGAAGAACCUUACCAGGACUUGACAUCCCCCUGACAGGGCUUUAAAAGGCCCCUUCUUCGGACAGGGGAGACAGGUGGUGCAUGGUUGUCGUCAGCUCGUGUCGUGAGAUGUUGGGUUAAGUCCCGCAACGAGCGCAACCCUUGCCUUUAGUUGCCAUCAUCAAGUUGGGCACUCUAGAGGGACUGCCGGGGACAACUCGGAGGAAGGUGGGGAUGACGUCAAAUCAUCAUGCCCCUUAUGUUCUGGGCUACACACGUGCUACAAUGGCCGGUACAGCAGGAAGCGAAGCCGUGAGGCGGAGCGAACCCCAAAAGCCGGUCCCAGUUCGGACUGCAGGCUGCAACCCGCCUGCACGAAGUCGGAGUUGCUAGUAAUCGCGGAUCAGCACGCCGCGGUGAAUGCGUUCCCGGGUCUUGUACACACCGCCCGUCACACCAUGGAAGUUGGUGGUGCCCGAAGUCGGUCAACAAAUCUACUGCCUAAGGCAAAACCAAUGACUGGGGUGAAGUCGUAACAAGGUAGCCGUA
rnacentral:rRNA from 1 species